rnacentral:rRNA from 1 species
CCGCGUGAGGGAUGACGGCCUUUCGGGUUGUAAACCUCUUUUAGCAGGGAAGAAGCGAAAGUGACGGUACCUGCAGAAAAAGCACCGGCUAACUACGUGCCAGCAGCCGCGGUAAUACGUAGGGUGCAAGCGUUAUCCGGAAUUAUUGGGCGUAAAGAGCUCGUAGGCGGUUUGUCACGUCUGCUGUGAAAACUGGAGGCUCAACCUCCAGCCUGCAGUGGGUACGGGCAGACUAGAGUGCGGUAGGGGAGAUUGGAAUUCCUGGUGUAGCGGUGGAAUGCGCAGAUAUCAGGAGGAACACCGAUGGCGAAGGCAGAUCUCUGGGCCGUAACUGACGCUGAGGAGCGAAAGGGUGGGGAGCAAACAGGCUUAGAUACCCUGGUAGUCCACCCCGUAAACGUUGGGAACUAGUUGUGGGGUCCAUUCCACGGAUUCCGUGACGCAGCUAACGCAUUAAGUUCCCCGCCUGGGGAGUACGGCCGCAAGGCUAAAACUCAAAGGAAUUGACGGGGACCCGCACAAGCGGCGGAGCAUGCGGAUUAAUUCGAUGCAACGCGAAGAACCUUACCAAGGCUUGACAUAUACGAGAAACGCUGCAGAAAUGUAGAACUCUUUG